GGGGGGGGGAGAAAGAGAGAGGGAGGGAGAGGGAGAGGGAGAGAGAGAGAAUAAUGACCAACCCCGCCGCAUCCAGGCGACAGUGGAGAGUAAGAAGCAACAACACACGGAAAGGAAAGUGCGUAGCAUAGAAGAUAGUAGGACAAUAUAAAUAGCGAUAUAAUAAUAGGUUAUGUAUUAAUAAUAAUAUUGUUUUCAUAUUAUAUAUUUAACAGCUUCUACAUUAUGUAAAUAGUUUUUAGAAAUGAAGCGUGCAUGAUUGCGUGUGCGUGAGACUGUGUGCAAGAGCGUAUAAAUGAAGAGAACACGUAAUGCAACGUUAACACAUUUUAAUCAACAAUAAAUUGAUUUACGUUAUUCAGUUUUAGUUUGUCCAACAAUUUCAAAAUGUUGGAGACCAAAGCCGCCGAGUGGUAGCAAUCCCAUGGUGGGGAAUAGAAAGCGGAUGAAAGACUCGCGAUGAAAAGGAGAAUGAGGAGGAGAACGUUAUAGAGCUUUAUAUACGUUCUGUGAGAGAGCGUUCGCGGAAAAACUAUCUAUAGGGAAUACGUAGUAUCUUUUAAGAAAGUUAAGUCAGAUUAGAAAUUACGAAACGUAAUUAUGAUUUAAUAAAAUUAAAUUUUAUUAGUCAGCGCAAUUGAAUCAGUGCAAGUUUACUUUGUAAAAGAUUACCACCGCGAGUGUGAUUGAAUGCGUGUGCGGGUAUUAAUAAUGAGUGAUGCAUUUAUAUAAUAAUUAAUAAACUCGAAAUAAUGAUAUUUAUCUGUGCAAUUACCCAUACCAGAAAAUUUUUUCACGUAGAUUUCCUUAGCGUUUUGGAGAACGCAAGCUAGACUGAUAGAAUCCGUGAAUAAGAAUUAAAUUAAUGACUGUACCGAUGUGCCAUACGAGCAGGAUUGCAGCUGAUCAACAGCAGCGAAUGACCAAAACCAGGCGAUGCUAUAUGAACAAUAAUCCUGCAAUGAUACCGAGACGCCUUCGAGACUAGACGAAAGCAACAUAGCGUGGUACGCAAGUUUCUUUUUGCUAGGAUGGUAAAAGCAAGUGACGACCGCGUAGGUAUUUUGUAAGCGGAGCGGCGGUCCGCAGUGUACCGUACAAACAUGCGACUUCAACGCGGGUGCGGUUUUGCGCAUUUUAUAUGCAGAUUUAAAGAAUGGAAGGGGAAAACGAUAAAUUCAUUUUUUUAUCAUCUUUCUGUUUUGGUUAUCGAUACUUUAUUUAAGAUUACUUCUUAUAAAAGGUGUAAACAACUAUCAAUAAACACUCUGUAUAGCGGUUAAAUGAUAACAAUAAUCUCCGGUGCGCGAUAAUAAAGUGAUAAACAACAGCCCAAAUUCGUGAAAUGAUUGAUCGUCUUGCGUAACAAAUCAAUAAAUCAGCGACAUCGUUUGACCGAUUUAUUCCUAUAAACGCUAGAACUCUUUCUAGAACUCACCUAGAACUAUAUCUUUUAAAAUGCUACAAGAAUUGGGUCUGGAAAUUACACAGGACAAAGCAGAGACGCAGCGUGAACAUGGCGUCUCACUUUGUCCUAUGCGUUUUUUUCGCUUUAAAGGCCAGAACUAUUUGUUUUAUCUAUCAGGAACUGUAAAACUAUUGAAAAUAAACCCAGAACUGUCAAUGUUUAGUGAGUGUCCAUCAAAUGAUAUGCCAGCUUUACACACAUUCUUAUAAGAUGUGUACGCUAAAUCACAUGCGACAGUGUACGAUAACAGCAUAUACUAUAUGUUUAUGGAACACAAUCGUAUGUACUUGAUAUAU